rnacentral:rRNA from 1 species
GACAGAGGAUGCAAGCGUUAUCCGGAAUGAUUGGGCGUAAAGCGUCUGUAGGUGGCUUUUCAAGUCCGCCGUCAAAUCCCAGGGCUCAACCCGUGACAGGCGGUGGAAACUACCAAGCUGGAGUACGGUAGGGGCAGAGGGAAUUUCCGGUGGAACGGUGAAAUGCGCAGAUAUCGGGAGGAACACCAGCGGCGAAGGCGGCACUCUGGGCUGGAACUGACGCUGAGGAGCGAAAGCGUGGGUAGCAAACAGG